ACUUACCAGGUGGUGUGCUUGAUGGGCUGUCCACCAUGAAAGGAGGAAAGCGUACAGUCCAGGAAGGUGCGUUCCCAUGUGCUUCAAAAACCCUGCCGUGGUUUGCUAGUUCUCUUAUGUUAAUGGAAUCUGAAGUCUAAGAGUUCCAGGAAAAAGGUAAGUGGUAGAUAUGCCAUUAUGUAAGGUUGGGUCAGAACUUGAGUGAUCUACCUCCCUUAUUAUAAAAAACAAAGACAAAAUCACAAAUAUCCCUCACUGUACAGUAGAAAAUAGAUAUUUCAAUCUUUAUCAAAUUUGACACCAAUAAAUUGUUUUACAUGGUUCCAGUAUUACAUGUUAGACACAAAUUUUGACUUGUAAUUAUCAUACUACUAUAUAAAAGGAAGAAUGUUUUGUGGAGAUGAUGUAGAGUUUAAAGUUUUCCACUUCUUUGAGUAGCUUUAUUAAAAGAAGAUCUCUGAACUUAGAACAUGUAAUGGCAUUACCUCACCCUUACCUUUUUUUUCUGUGGUCCAGCUGUAACUAUAAUUUCUCUUCACUGUUAUUGCAGGUAUGUCUCCAGUAAUCAAGAGACAAUUAAGAGUGGUUGGGGCCAGGUGUGCACCUUUCGCUAUAAAGGUAGCAUUUCCCCUAAACUUGUUACCAUUUUGAACUCUGGUAAGAUAGCAUGCGUCAAGUUGACUCUUGGCAUUCUGAAGCUUGUCUUUGACUAGAAAGUGGAAUGAACUUAUAUUAUCACCUUGCCUUAGAAGCAGCAGCAGCAGCAGCAGCAGCCAUACUCAACCAGAUCUUGGUAUUUCAUCAGAUGCAUUCCUCCUGAGAAACUAAGAGGUGGUUUGAAGGUUUGCUCAUUGACUUUCAGGUCAUGGUGACUUCCCUUCACAGUCUCCAGCUGAACCUUCCUAGUCCCUGACGGCUCUGAUAAAGUGUGUGUGUGUGGGGGGGGGGGUGUCACUGUUAUGCAGGCUAAAUGUGUAGAAGACCUUGAUUUUAUUUCAAAGUUACUUUAAACGAGAAAGGAUUUAUCACCAGCUCUGAAGAUGGCGGUAUAAAAGGAUCCUGAACUCCCAUGAACACACCAGAUCUACAGUUGCUUAUGGGAAAACUUUCUCUGAAAACUGGCUGAGUGAAUACUACACAUUGGAUGAACAAGAAAAGGCCCACAUGGAAACAGGGUUUGGCUUUUUGGACUUUAUCAUUUUCCUCCCAUGGCUAGAGUGAGCGACUUAUAACUUGCCAGCAAAAUGCUCUCCAGUUCCAUCCAUGCUGUUGCAAAUG